UACGGAGGAUCCAAGCGUUAUCCGGAAUUACUGGGCGUAAAGAGUUGCGUAGGCGGCAAGCUAAGCAGAGUAUGAAAGCGUGUGGCUCAACCAUACAGCUAUGCUCUGAACUGGCUCGCUAGAGGACGAGAGAGGUAACUGGAAUUCCUAGUGUAGGAGUGAAAUCCGUAGAUAUUAGGAGGAACACCGAUGGCGUAGGCAGGUUACUGGCUCGUUCCUGACGCUCAGGCACGAAAGCGUGGGUAGCGAACGGG
rnacentral:rRNA from 1 species